UACGUAGGGGGCAAGCGUUGUCCGGAAUCAUUGGGCGUAAAGCGCGUGUAGGCGGCCAGAAAAGUCCGCUGUGAAAACUCGAGGCUCAACUUCGAGCUGUCGGUGGAAACUUUCUGGCUAGAGUCCGGAAGAGGAGAAUGGAAUUCCUGGUGUAGCGGUGAAAUGCGUAGAUAUUAGGAAGAACACCAGUGGCGAAGGCGGCUCACUGGUCCGGUACUGACGCUGAGGCGCGAAAGCGUGGGGAGCAAACAGG
rnacentral:rRNA from 1 species